rnacentral:rRNA from 1 species
GAUCAUGGCUCAGGACGAACGCUGGCGGCGUGCCUAACACAUGCAAGUCGAACGGGGUUGUUGAAGAAGCUUGCUUUUGAGACAACCAAGUGGCGGACGGGUGAGUAACGCGUGAGGACCUGUCUCCGGCAGGGGGACAACAUUUGGAAACGGAUGCUAAUACCGCAUAAGCCGAGAGGUGAAAGGAGCAAUCCGGCAGGAGAGGGACUCGCGUUCUAUCAGCUAGUAGGCGGGGUAAAGGCCCACCUAGG